GGGUUGUGAGGUUAAGCGACUAAGCGUACACGGUGGAUGCCCUGGCAGUCAGAGGCGAUGAAGGACGUGCUAAUCUGCGAUAAGCGUCGGUAAGGUGAUAUGAACCGUUAUAACCGGCGAUUUCCGAAUGGGGAAACCCAGUGUGUUUCGACACACUAUCAUUAACUGAAUCCAUAGGUUAAUGAGGCGAACCGGGGGAACUGAAACAUCUAAGUACCCCGAGGAAAAGAAAUCAACCGAGAUUCCCCCAGUAGCGGCGAGCGAACGGGGAGCAGCCCAGAGCCUGAAUCAGUGUGUGUGUUAGUGGAAGCGUCUGGAAAGGCGCGCGAUACAGGGUGACAGCCCCGUACACAAAAAUGCACAUGCUGUGAGCUCGAUGAGUAGGGCGGGACACGUGGUAUCCUGUCUGAAUAUGGGGGGACCAUCCUCCAAGGCUAAAUACUCCUGACUGACCGAUAGUGAACCAGUACCGUGAGGGAAAGGCGAAAAGAACCCCGGCGAGGGGAGUGAAAAAGAACCUGAAACCGUGUACGUACAAGCAGUGGGAGCACGCUUAGGCGUGUGACUGCGUACCUUUUGUAUAAUGGGUCAGCGACUUAUAUUCUGUAGCAAGGUUAACCGAAUAGGGGAGCCGAAGGGAAACCGAGUCUUAACUGGGCGUUAAGUUGCAGGGUAUAGACCCGAAACCCGGUGAUCUAGCCAUGGGCAGGUUGAAGGUUGGGUAACACUAACUGGAGGACCGAACCGACUAAUGUUGAAAAAUUAGCGGAUGACUUGUGGCUGGGGGUGAAAGGCCAAUCAAACCGGGAGAUAGCUGGUUCUCCCCGAAAGCUAUUUAGGUAGCGCCUCGUGAAUUCAUCUCCGGGGGUAGAGCACUGUUUCGGCAAGGGGGUCAUCCCGACUUACCAACCCGAUGCAAACUGCGAAUACCGGAGAAUGUUAUCACGGGAGACACACGGCGGGUGCUAACGUCCGUCGUGAAGAGGGAAACAACCCAGACCGCCAGCUAAGGUCCCAAAGUCAUGGUUAAGUGGGAAACGAUGUGGGAAGGCCCAGACAGCCAGGAUGUUGGCUUAGAAGCAGCCAUCAUUUAAAGAAAGCGUAAUAGCUCACUGGUCGAGUCGGCCUGCGCGGAAGAUGUAACGGGGCUAAACCAUGCACCGAAGCUGCGGCAGCGACGCUUAUGCGUUGUUGGGUAGGGGAGCGUUCUGUAAGCCUGCGAAGGUGUGCUGUGAGGCAUGCUGGAGGUAUCAGAAGUGCGAAUGCUGACAUAAGUAACGAUAAAGCGGGUGAAAAGCCCGCUCGCCGGAAGACCAAGGGUUCCUGUCCAACGUUAAUCGGGGCAGGGUGAGUCGACCCCUAAGGCGAGGCCGAAAGGCGUAGUCGAUGGGAAACAGGUUAAUAUUCCUGUACUUGGUGUUACUGCGAAGGGGGGACGGAGAAGGCUAUGUUGGCCGGGCGACGGUUGUCCCGGUUUAAGCGUGUAGGCUGGUUUUCCAGGCAAAUCCGGAAAAUCAAGGCUGAGGCGUGAUGACGAGGCACUACGGUGCUGAAGCAACAAAUGCCCUGCUUCCAGGAAAAGCCUCUAAGCAUCAGGUAACAUCAAAUCGUACCCCAAACCGACACAGGUGGUCAGGUAGAGAAUACCAAGGCGCUUGAGAGAACUCGGGUGAAGGAACUAGGCAAAAUGGUGCCGUAACUUCGGGAGAAGGCACGCUGAUAUGUAGGUGAAGUCCCUCGCGGAUGGAGCUGAAAUCAGUCGAAGAUACCAGCUGGCUGCAACUGUUUAUUAAAAACACAGCACUGUGCAAACACGAAAGUGGACGUAUACGGUGUGACGCCUGCCCGGUGCCGGAAGGUUAAUUGAUGGGGUUAGCGCAAGCGAAGCUCUUGAUCGAAGCCCCGGUAAACGGCGGCCGUAACUAUAACGGUCCUAAGGUAGCGAAAUUCCUUGUCGGGUAAGUUCCGACCUGCACGAAUGGCGUAAUGAUGGCCAGGCUGUCUCCACCCGAGACUCAGUGAAAUUGAACUCGCUGUGAAGAUGCAGUGUACCCGCGGCAAGACGGAAAGACCCCGUGAACCUUUACUAUAGCUUGACACUGAACAUUGAGCCUUGAUGUGUAGGAUAGGUGGGAGGCUUUGAAGUGUGGACGCCAGUCUGCAUGGAGCCGACCUUGAAAUACCACCCUUUAAUGUUUGAUGUUCUAACGUUGACCCGUAAUCCGGGUUGCGGACAGUGUCUGGUGGGUAGUUUGACUGGGGCGGUCUCCUCCUAAAGAGUAACGGAGGAGCACGAAGGUUGGCUAAUCCUGGUCGGACAUCAGGAGGUUAGUGCAAUGGCAUAAGCCAGCUUGACUGCGAGCGUGACGGCGCGAGCAGGUGCGAAAGCAGGUCAUAGUGAUCCGGUGGUUCUGAAUGGAAGGGCCAUCGCUCAACGGAUAAAAGGUACUCCGGGGAUAACAGGCUGAUACCGCCCAAGAGUUCAUAUCGACGGCGGUGUUUGGCACCUCGAUGUCGGCUCAUCACAUCCUGGGGCUGAAGUAGGUCCCAAGGGUAUGGCUGUUCGCCAUUUAAAGUGGUACGCGAGCUGGGUUUAGAACGUCGUGAGACAGUUCGGUCCCUAUCUGCCGUGGGCGCUGGAGAAUUGAGGGGGGCUGCUCCUAGUACGAGAGGACCGGAGUGGACGCAUCACUGGUGUUCGGGUUGUCAUGCCAAUGGCACUGCCCGGUAGCUAAAUGCGGAAGAGAUAAGUGCUGAAAGCAUCUAAGCACGAAACUUGCCCCGAGAUGAGUUCUCCCUGACUCCUUGAGAGUCCUGAAGGAACGUUGAAGACGACGACGUUGAUAGGCCGGGUGUGUAAGCGCAGCGAUGCGUUGAGCUAACCGGUACUAAUGAACCGUGAGGCUUAACCUUACAACGCCGAAG
rnacentral:rRNA from 1 species